GCAGACACAUUCCAGCCAAUCAGCAGCAGACCCUCCCUCCGAGACCCUCCCACCUCCUGGACAGCAUCCAUUUUACAUUCAUUGUGAAGCUGCAUUCUUAGUGAGCUGUCCAGGAGGUGGGAGGGUCUGGGAGGGAGGGUCUGCUGCUGAUUGGCUGGAAUGUGUCUG